rnacentral:rRNA from 1 species
GUAGUCUGCAACCCGACUACAUGAAGCUGGAAUCGCUAGUAAUCGCGAAUCAGAAUGUCGCGGUGAAUACGUUCCCGGGUCUUGUACACACCGCCCGUCACACCAUGGGAGUCGGAAAUGCCCGAAGUCUGUGACCCAACCUUAGGGAGGGAGCAGCCGAAGGCAGGUCGGAUGACUGGGGUGAAGUCGUAACAAGGUAAC